rnacentral:rRNA from 1 species
UACGUAGGGUGCGAGCGUUGUCCGGAAUUAUUGGGCGUAAAGAGCUCGUAGGCGGCUCAGUAAGUCGGGUGUGAAACCUCCAGGCUCAACCUGGAGACGCCACCCCGAUACUGCUGUGGCUAGAGUCCAGUAGGGGGAGUGUGGAAUUCCUGGUGUAGCGGUGAAAUGCGCAGAUAUCAGGAGGAACACCGAUUGCGAAGGCAGCUCGCUGGGACGUAACUGACGCUGAGACGCGAAAGCGUGGGGGAGCAAACGGGG